UCGCCCUAGUGUGAACCGACUCUUAAUCCUUCCUUCCUUUUCCCCAUUGGCUGGAACUAUAUUACAUUUUUAUAUUGGCUGAAUUUAGCUAAUUGAAAACAAAUCAUUUUAACUAAAUGCCAAAAGAGGCUUGAUGUCAUUGUAAGGGCUCCUAAGACCUUCAGCUCCCUAGCCUCCCUUGUAAGUUGUACAUGUUUAUCUUUCCCUACAUUAAUUCAAAGUGCAGCAUUUAAACAGGAUCUCUCCUCUCUCAAAAGAAGGGGACGGGAAGCUGAAAUGAGGAGGGCUGUAAGAGCUGAUUGGAAGGGUCACCCUCCCCCUCUUACCUUCACACAACACACAGAAACAGAGCUGAGGCUGUCAAUCCAAGACUAUGCCCUCCCCUGUCACCAUUGUUCUCUUGGUGUCAGAGAAGCUUGUCAGAAAUGACUCUUGCUGAUCGAGUAAUGAGGCAGUGGGCAGAAAUUACAUUUACUGCUUUGAGACAAGAACAUGCUAUAGAGUGAUAUGCUUUGUUCGUAUGUCAUAUCUGAGGUUUACAACCACUUUAACACACUGUGUCAUGUCUAGUAUGUGGAAAUUCCCUUGAUUAAAUGGAUUUUUUUAUGCCUUUUUUUUUUUUUGGCUUGUUUAUCUAAAAAAAAUAUAAAAAUACAAACCUACAUAGAUUUUAGAUUAUGUGGGACAUGAGACUGAUUAUACAUUGACUUUGUCAGGGCUAUAGUAAUUUUUCUAAUACUAGUCUUGGUAUUGCUCUGUGGAGCAUUUCAGACUGACUUAACCAGUACAUUAUUGUAUUACUAUUUUACAGCUGAUCAUAAUUUUAAGCAGGUUUGUUUUUGCUGUGACAUCGCAAUUAAAUCUUUUAUUUAUGUUUCUUGUUACAGUUUGCAAAGUCUGCAGCUUUGUACUUAAGCUCCACUGUGUAUGUAUGUUAUGUAUUUGAUAUCAUUGUGCAGAGUACAGGUGGGCAACUAUUACAUGUAAAUAAGGUGUUUUAGUACUGGAGUGUUUUUAUUAGGACUCCAUUGCAUGUUAAGCUAGUAAAUGUAAUCAGAGAACAGAUUUCAACUUCCUUGAGGGACUGGACCAAAUUUGGUGUCUUCUUAACGUGGGAAUCCCACCUAAAACCAUGUAUACAAUUAAGGUGGGUUGCUACUAAGAGCAAUGUGUUUUUCUUUCCAGGAAUAAAACCCCCGGUUUUCUUAAAAACUUCAAAACAGUAAAACGACUCAGUGUUUCUUUAAAAAAUGUAAUUAUCUAGGGUUAUAUUACUGUUUUCAAAUAUAGUCCAAGUUUGAUAUUUAUUAUUCUACAUACACAGGUAAAUAAAAGGUUCCUCAUCUUACCCUUUUAUUCUUUCACGCUACAAUAAAAUUAUCUGGAAAUUGUUCUAAGAAACGGAAUGCCAUUUUAUGUCCAAAGACCAUAUGGUUAUACUUUUCAAGCCUUUGAAUAAAGCCUUUUAAGCCAUUUCUUUGAAACAGG